rnacentral:rRNA from 1 species
UACAGAGGGUGCGAGCGUUAAUCGGAAUUACUGGGCGUAAAGCGCGCGUAGGCGGCGACGUAAGUCGGGUGUGAAAGCCCCAGGCUCAACCUGGGAAUUGCAUUCGAGACUGCAUUGCUGGAGUACGGAAGAGGAGGGCGGAAUUCCCGGUGUAGCGGUGAAAUGCGUAGAUAUCGGGAGGAACAUCAGUGGCGAAGGCGGCCCUCUGGUCCAGUACUGACACUCAAGUGCGAAAGCGUGGGGAGCAAACAGG